GGAGGCGUGGCCGAGCGGUUUAAGGCACCGGUCUUGAAAACCGGCGAAGGAGUGAUCCUUCCGUGAGUUCGAAUCUCACCGCCUCCGCCA
rnacentral:tRNA from 1 species